rnacentral:lncRNA from 1 species
GGAAUAAUGCACUAGAAUGUCAGCGUUGAAAAAGGGUUUCUCAUCCCAUGAAGUGCGAAUGUAACUACCACAAGUUCGGCUACUGCUGCUUCUUGUGAAUGCCAGCAACGCACACAAGGCUCAGCCGUUAUGGGGACCUCUCAGAUUUUGCCUGGCAUUCUGCAGAAGCAUUGCUGCAUUUUACCAGACAGGAAUACAGGUAAACUCUAAGGUUUCCUUCUCCCUAUUCUGUUCUAUUAAUUCAGUCUUCUCCAGCUGGGAUCUCCAGCUCUCUUGAACUACAGAAAU